CCGGAGCUGCUUGGACUGAGGGACAGACCAACCGACAGACGUGCAGAUUCCUCAAGCCCAGAGUUCCGCAGCCACCGUCCCCUGCAGCCCGACGGCAGGGUCCCUGAGAUGGCUAAGGGCGCACCGCGAGGGUGUUGGGAGACAGCGCAGGUGAACAGAAUGGUGGGACUCUACCUUCACACGGUUUUCUUUCUGGUGGGAAAGCCACCGAGUAAAGAGGAUAUCAGAGAGUUAUGGGAAAUAAAGAAAAUGAGCCGAGCGGUGCCACAGCUGUGACUCGAGUCAGGAGAGGAGCUGGAGGAGGAAGAAGAGGUGCCAGCUACCAUGAAGAGAAGGGACAAGCCCCCUAAGCCAGGGUCUGGCAAGCACAAACUGCGGUUCAGGCCACUGCACUCGAGCCUCGCUUGAUCUUCUGCAGUCUCUCAGGAGGCACCUUUUAGCCUGUGUGCAAGUAGCUUCAGACAUUCAGCUGCAGAAAGAAGCAAAGAGUGGAAUCCAGAGGCUCAUGACCCUCCUUUCUUGGCUUCGACCAGCCUGGCCAAUGUGAAUAUGAAAGAAACAAGGGCUCAAUACGUAGCCCUGACUGGCCUGAAACUUACUACAUAAACCAGGCUGAGCUUGAACCAGCAGAGAUCCAUCUACUCCUGCUUCCCGAGUGCUAGGAUUAAAGUCCUUAACAGGUGACAGCACUGGGACCCUGAGUCAGGAAACCGCUAGUGUACAGCUGCAGCUUGACCAGGCUUGACCUAACAAUACAGAGGAGGGUCAAGGUUAUGUCAGAAUUUGAAUUACUGAACAAGCUGACCCUGAGAUGGAGGGCCACAGCAGGACCCUGGGGGAGAUUGCAGAGCUGCACUGCCCUAGACAAUGGCUCAGGAUGUUAUGUCUCUCUCACAAGGGAAGAUGUUGCAGUCAGAAGUGUCCAGGUAGCAGCGGCAGGACAGUCCUACAAGGGAGACGUCUAUGGUAGGCACUGCUGAAGAGUAGCUCAAAAACCCUUGGGAUACACCCUCCUUCAGAACAAGUCUGAAACUUCUGUUGAACCCAAACCAGAGGGAGAAACUUCUCAGAGAAAGCCUUUUGAGGAUUUUGUGGUGGAGAAUUGGUUCAGCAGGACAGGGGCUUGAGGUGAGCUGGCUGCAGGGACAGUCAGCAGGAAGAAAAGGUCCAUGUCCUGGAAGCAUCAGACAGCAGGAGGGACUGCUCCCACCUAGCACUCUUAGCACUUACCAAGCUCAGCUGGGAAGGGGUGUCAUUGCGCCUAGCUUUGUUACAGCCACAAAUAGAUGGACUGCAGUGUUGGGUCACACCUAGAGCAGUCUGAGGAGCCCGAGGUUUUUAUUUGGCCACACAUAGAGGGAAGGGCAACAAGAGGAACAGGCAUGUGGGGUGAACUGAAUUAGAUCCUCGGGUCCUGACCCGGCCUUCUUCCAGCUUCUCUGCUCAUGAACUGAAAGCCAAGAGAGCCUUAAAUUCUUGCUCCGCACUUCAGGCUGAGCUCCCAAGGGAAGCCUGGGAUCAGGACAUCUCAUACCCUUGGCCUAUGUCAACUUGUCCCAGAUGAAUGACUUCAGACAUCUGCUUCCUACACCCUCCAAAGGAACUCGGCAAGUUCAAUCCUCCCCCAAGCUCGAUUCCCAGCUUCCCAGACCCUCAAGCUCCAACGUAGAGACAAGGACAAAGAAGGUCAAGUAUGUGUCUCACCACAAAUGCACCUGACUUCAGCCUGUGGCCUCGCCAGUGCCAGCUCUGCCCAGGGUGGGUCGCCUGUCCCAACUCAGGCUGCUGGGUCACAGCUUUGCUAUGUGUUUGUUUCUGAGCAGGCUGAUUUCGGCAGUGACUGAGCUUGGAAGCUAUAAAUAUUGGAAGCCAUAAAGCUUGGUGAUAAACUUGUCAGUGAGACUGUGGGUCAGGCCCUAGUGUCACUCAGGUGCCGAUCCUGAGUGUCUUCCUCAGCCAGGUAGAACUGCUGGGUCCCACUUCUCCUAGUACCCUUGGCAAACCUGCCUGAAAUGCACUGGAAGCCAUGUGCUUCCCAGGGUCCUUUAUGCUGAACCAUAAGAACCCUGGGUUGAUAGGGGGCAGGGGCAGGCUAGCCUAGCCAUUUUCUGAAGCCCUUUCUGAAUCUCUGGGCUAGAAACACUGGGAUUUGAUGACACCGAUGUCCCUCUGGGGGCCUACUUCCUAGGGGAUGGUUUUCAUGUGGCAGCCAUGUGGUCAGAAAGUCUGGAGAGUCGGGUCCUGUGUUCUCAGCCGUGACGUUUGCAGUCACAUCAGGCAUGUCAUGGGACCACGUGCCCUGCCUGCCCCAAGGACACCAGGCAGAACUCAAGUAAGAUGCUGUAUCUAGAGAACUGACACAAGUGCAAGGUCCCACAUGACAGUGGAGCAGCACGUCCUGAGUUCAACCCGGUGUGCCUUUACCCAGUGCCGGUCUGACAAUGGUGGGGCACCAGAGACACAGAGCCAGGUAAGGAGACACGGGAGGAGACACGGGUGAGGAGACACGGGAGGAGACAUGGGUGAGGAGACACGGGAGGAGACACGGGUGAGGAGACAAGGGAGGAGACACAGGAGGAGACACAGGGGAGGAGACACGGGAGGAGACACGGGUAAGGGAGGCUCAGCGGUUUCGGUCCUUAUGGUGGUAAGCAGUGACAGCAAGAGUGACCCUCGCUCCCCUCACCAACUGCUCACUGCAUCCCAGGCUUGAACAAACCCUUCGGGUGCCUUUCACCUUUCAACACGUUAUCAUUCCCAUACAGAGAGGAGGAAACUGAGGGAUGAAGUCAUGGGCCAUGGUCAACCAGCCAAGUUGUGGUAGAUCAACUGAUUCCAGAGUCUCUCCUCUCCAAACGACCAUGUCCUCUUCCACAUUUUCUAGCAUGUAUGGUUAUUUUUUUCAUGUUUAGGU